GAAUCUGAAUCACUGACAGCGAGCCUAACCUAACCUAAAAUUAAUAAUCACAGCAUAGGAAUAUACUUAUACUAUACAGCUUAUACUUAUACUGUGUGUGUGUUUAAUUUCAUUACAUACAAAAAUUAUUAUUUGUGAUUUAAAAACGUGCUGCUAUAAAGUAUGGUCGCUUAAUAUCAUUAUUGUAUUAUAUGUGGUCCCGGUAAUGCUAACAUUGAAAAUGAGAGGGACGUGUCUUAUCAUAUUUUUCCAAAGUAUAAUGUAGAUGAGUGAUUAAAAUUGUUCAACCUGCACUCUGAAAGCAUCAAUUUUAAAGUGGGACUGCGCAACUCUACAGUAAGCAUUUUGUUCCUGAAGAUUUUGUACAUGUUGACAAUUAUAGCAAACGUCGGCUUAAAAAAACUGCCAUUCCUACAGUGUUGUAUGUUGACAAGUGCAUUCCUUUAAGCAUUCACGACAAAGACAAGACUACGGUCCUUCUUGUUACAUUUAGUCCAGAGAGUUAGAAUCAUAAACCCAAGUGUAAUUGAUAAAUUUUAAGGAAUUACAUAACAGCAAAAAUAAAGGGAAAUCCUUAAGAGGUUGGUGUGGUAGCCGAAGACGAGUUAUCGUCAAGGGGUACCCUACAUGGGGCUAAUGCAGUCGAUCCCAAGGGCUUAGAAAAACGAAAGGGUCUAAAAGGAUUCGAUCCCUAGAGGAAGAUGAGACGAAGAUAAAAAAGCCUAAGCCCUCGACUAUCUUUGAGUCGUCACAGGAGUUUCAGGUUGCCAUCAUAGAUUGAUCAGAUCUGGAUGGUAGGCUGUCAUCCGACAGGUGGCUCGAGGUUGAGAGGAGGGUCCUGAUGGCAAUUGCUGAUCUUGAAGGAGAUGACAGACGACAAAGAAAUAUCCUUCGAAGGGCGCGGGGUGGCUGAGGGACGUCAAGGUGGUCGGGUGCUCCAACAAGUCUCUUGAUUUUCUAAAAGGAGUAGUCGGUGGCUGCGAGGACCUGUGGCCGGGCUCCAAGCUGGAGGUUAUCCUGAAAUCGUUGCUGCCAUUGAGGAAGAUUGUCGUCUCGGUGUGGGUUCCGCCGCUAAAUCUGGAGUAUCGGAAAACACUGGCGGUCGUACAAAGAAUGAAUAAGGGAGUGAAUACAAAGGAGUGGAAGAUUUUAUCCUCCACCCAAAGUAAAAAUGGAAAAGGCAAGGACAUCGUCAUGUCAGUCGAUGAGGCAUCCCUCUGCACCAUUGCGAGGCGGCCUCGGGGAAUUUGAUGCAGUAUCUGAGAAAGAAGGAUGUAGCCCUGAUCCAAGAACCAUGGCUCUAUAGACACAAAAUUCGAGGAUUGGGGACAAAGGAAUACGAAAUAUUUCGUUCACAAACUGAAGAUAGGAAAGAGUGUGUAUAGUAGCAAAGAAAUCACUAUGUUUCAUUCUACUUUCACAGUAUAGCAACAAUGACCUGACCGUAGUGGCAUGCGAGAAAAAGGGCAAAAACCUACUGCUUCUAGCCUCAGCGUGCAUGCCCUAUGAAGAGAAAGAACCACCAACAGGAGCUAUCAGAGACAUGGUCCAAAGAGAGAGCUCAGAGAAAGCACAUGGUGACAGGAUGUGAUGCCAAUGGACACCCCCAGUGGGAAAGCAAGGAUAUAAACUUUGGCCGCUAACUCGUAGGGUUUAGCGAUGAGAAUUGGAGGGUAACUCCCGAAUACGCGUUUUUGGACCAUGGGAGAAUAUCGUUCGAAAUCAACGCGAACCAGUGGCAGGGAAACCCUCAGGAAUCCUCGGAAAAUCAACUGGAUGGGAUUCGUAGAAAUCGUGGAGAAGAAACUCGGGGAGACGAGACCCAAAUGGGACUCGAGACCCGUACAGCCCUCGAUUGAGAAGCUCGAAGAAACAGUCAGUACACUGAGUGAUAUAUUAUUAAAAGCCUUCAGGAAAUCUUGUAGGACAUAUUUUCAUAUAUAUGGGGGAAAUAUUUUCUGAAAAGUAUUUGUUAUCGUUUCUUCUGAAGAAAAUAAUGAUUGCCUUGUUUAUUACUAGUUUGCACAAAUUCAACGGGCUCAAGGUUAACCUUACCAGUUCUGUCUGCGGGUGUUGAGGGCGCACAAGGAUACAGUCGACCAUCGAAAGCAUUUGGCGUUAGAACAGAGCGAUAGUGCUAGCGCGUUGUACGCUUGACAAACAUAAAACAAUUUAAGUUUUUAUAUUUAGUUGUUAUUUAGUAUAAAAUACUUAACUGUAUUAAUUUAAUAAGCAAGCUAUUGCAAUCAAAAGAUUACGAUUUAAUAUCUGCACUUGAAAUUUUACAAAAUUGCAAAAAAUUCUUUAGGGAUCUAAUCGUAAGAUUCCUUUAAUGAAACUAUUGUUGAUGCAAAAGAACUAGCUGAUAAAAUUGACGUUGAUUCUAAUUUUAAAUCAACAAUACCACGACACCGAGUAAGAAGAAAGAAAACCAACUUUUUAUAUGAAGUGCGAGAUAAACUGAUCAAAGAUCCCAAAAAAAAUAUAAGUUAGACUUUUUUUAUUUUACAAUUGAUCAAGUACUGAAUGCACUGGAUACUAGAUUUGAAUAACUUAAGCAAGCAACAUAGUAAUUAUUAUCAAUUUUUGUAUUAUACGACUUAAAAAACAUGUCUAAAGAAACUAUUGAAACACUGCAAGGAUUUGCAAAUAAUUUUAACUGAUGGCGAUUCUGUUGACAUUAAUGGAAUAGAAUUAGUGGAGGAAAUUUCUGCAGUUUUUGCGCUUUUGGGAAAAAAUCAAGCAUAAAAGAAAUAAUGAAAUUAAUAACAACUUUAAAUUUUGCUCCAAACAUUAGUGCCGCCUUAAGAAUUUGUUUACUCUACUAGUAAAUGUAGCAAGUGGAGAUAGAAGUUUCUCUAAAUUAAAAUUAAUAAAGAACUUCUUACGAUCUACUUCCAUACAAAAUAUUUUUAAAGAUUUAGCCAUUUUGGCUAUUGAGCAUGAAAUUACUGACCUAAUUAACACAAAAGAGAUAAUAAAAGGUUACAGAACUUAAAGUGAGAAAAAAAUUAUUUUUAUGAUUUUGGUGAGUUUCUUUAGACAUGUUAAUUUUGUUCCCUUUUAAUCAUAUAAUUUUUGUUAUUUGAUUAUGCGGUAAUGUAGAAUUUACUUGUUUAGGAGUAUUGGAAAGAUAUUUUUUCAUAUGUUCUGUUUUGUAUUGUUAAUUUUGUGUUGUGGUAUCUAUCUUAACAAAGAAAUUUUGUAUUUUUUAUAAUCUAAAAUCAUUUUUAUUAUUAUCAAAUAAAGGCAAGUAAAGUAAAAA